UACGUAGGGGUCGAGCGUUGUCCGGAGUUACUGGGCGUAAAGCGCAUGCAGGCGGCUCAUUACGCAUGGCGUGAAAGCCCCCGGCUCAACCGGGGAGGGUCGUCGUGAACGGGUGAGCUUGAGGGUAUCAGGGGCUGGUGGAAUUCCCGGUGUAGUGGUGAAAUGCGUAGAGAUCGGGAGGAACACCUGUGGCGAAGGCGGCCAGCUGGGAUACACCUGACGCUGAGAUGCGAAGGCGUGGGGAGCGAACGGGAUUAGAUACCCGCGUAGUCCUU
rnacentral:rRNA from 1 species